GACGAACGCUGGCGGCGCGCCUAACACAUGCAAGUCGAACGAGAGAUGAGGAGCUUGCUCUUCAAAUCGAGUGGCGAACGGGUGAGUAACGCGUGAGGAACCUGCCUCAAAGAGGGGGGACAACAGUUGGAAACGACUGCUAAUACCGCAUAAGCCCACGGCUCGGCAUCGAGCAGAGGGAAAAGGAGCAAUCCGCUUUGAGAUGGCCUCGCGUCCGAUUAGCUAGUUGGUGAGGUAACGGCCCACCAAGGCGACGAUCGGUAGCCGGACUGAGAGGUUGAACGGCCACAUUGGGACUGAGACACGGCCCAGACUCCUACGGGAGGCAGCAGUGGGGAAUAUUGCACAAUGGGGGAAACCCUGAUGCAGCGACGCCGCGUGGAGGAAGAAGGUCUUCGGAUUGUAAACUCCUGUUGUUGAGGAAGAUAAUGACG
rnacentral:rRNA from 1 species